rfam:Paenibacillus pini JCM 16418 DNA, contig: contig00004.
AUGGAAGAGGUUCGCGAACUCCCUCUAUAAAAAACUAAGACUGC